AAGACAAUAUUUAUAGAAAUUUAAUGAACUAAAGAUAAAAACAAAAAUUAAUUCUAGUUCUUUUGAGCAUCUAAAAUAUGAGCAUUGUCACUUUUAAUCUUAGUUCACUGAAGGGAAAGAGGCAUGAAACUUUCCAGAAUGAAUCCUUAUAAAUGGUGCCAUCUUCCUCUAGGGACACAUUCACUCACUUAUUCUUACAUUCUUUUCUUCCUUUAUUCAAACAUGUUUUCAAGGGCCUAUUAGGUAAAGACAGAUCAAAUAAAUCAUUUUGGACCUCUGGAAAUUUACUGUCCUCAGCAAUCUACAGCUUGUCCUUGUCCUCUGCGAUGUUACCAUCUUCUCUUUUCUCUUCCUCAGCAAGAUGGUGACAAUCAUCGUCCUGCUGUUCCCUUCAGCUUGAUUAACUGCUAUACAGGUUUCUUUCUGUCUAGAAGCUCCAGACCUCCCUUUUCUUAGAGUUCUUAAGAAACCUUGCAAUUGUAAAUUCUUCCUCUGCCACUUUAAUAUGUAAACCUUCCCAUGCCAGUUUUGCAACCCCAAAGUUAUCUCUCUCAAGGACCAGGGAGCCAUUCCUUGAAAACGUAAUCUUUAAGGAAGACCGGCCCCCUACCUCCCAGUCUGGGAGAGGUAAGGACCUAAAUUCAAUUAGCACCAAUUAACAUACACAGAUGGCCCAAUCACUCAGACCAACCUUCCUCCUUAUUUUUUCUAGCCCUUUCUCUUUAGCUCCCUCUGCUUAAAAUCUCUCCCAUUUUUCUUUCACCUGGGUUGAGUUAGUUGCUCUUCCUUAUAGCAAUAGUCAUGACUCCUGGUACAACAGUCUUGAAUAAAGCCUUCCUGCUUGUUUAAUUCUUUCUAGUGUAAUUUUUCUUUGAUAGUUUUUGUCAUGUGUCUUUGUUCUAUCUUCAGUUUCUGCUGCUCUGUGAUCUAAUAGGAACCAAUUUGUUCGUUUCCUUUACUGAACCAUACAUUAAAUUUGAGUCAUAUAUAGACCCCUUUUUUUGAAGAGGGGGAAAAAAUAAAGACCUCCAAACCUAUAAAAAUACCUUUUUUGUUGUUGUUGUUUAAAAUGUAUACCACAAAAAGAAAACUUUUAUAUUGCUAAAUUUUAAAGAAACUAUCAUCAAAAUGAAAACACAAAUUUCAAACAAAUUAUUAUGGAACUUCUGACCCUGAAAUUGUGUGCCCUUUUUCAUUCCAAGUUUUCCAGAGAUCCUGGGAAAGUAGUCUAAGGAACUAUGCUAGAACCUUGAUCAAUGUUCUUUCUGGUGAGAAAACUAUUUUUACACAAAAUAUGUGGUAAUAGCUUACCCUGAAUUUUGUUUUAACUUUCUAUUUUAAAGGACUAGUACUCUUAAGAGUCAAAAAAAUGGACCUAAAUAGGGACGCUUCUAUUAAAGAAUCUUGACCUUUAAUAUGGAAAACUAUAAUUUAGAAUAUCAUUUAUUUUAUCUACUCUCUAGUGUACAUGUUUAAAGCCCUAUGAUUUUGCCCUCUAAGAGUGUGGGCUUGGCUGUUGAUGCAAACUGUCAAUCAACCUCUCUGCCCCCACUUUAGAAGGACUGUCUGCAUCAAAUGGCCUUUAUGUGUCACAAGGGUCAGAUGACAGUUUGGGCUUAAGGCGCACUGCUUAAACAAAUGAUCUGCCUAUUUAGCAUUGACCCGAGACUCUCAGUUUUAAGGUGGAGACAUUUAUUUGAAUAAUAGGAGAAAACCACUGAUAAGUUGCUUUUGCUUAUGAUGAUUUUUUUAAUGAUUUUUCCCAAAAAAUGUGCUACCUCAGUCUUAAUUAGUUAAUUAGUGUUAACUUUUAUCAGUACUAGGCAGGUUUUUUUUUUUUUUUGCUUAUCUGUGUAUAAUAUAUAGAAAAGGCAUUUGGACAUUUACUAGGAUGAACUGUAUAACAUAUCACAGGAAUGCGUAAAAAUGACCAAAAUCAAAUGUCUAAUAGACCUUUCCUCCCUAAAAUUCAUGUUCAUUCCUUUUCAAAAGAAGUCACUCAUACAGGUCCUGAACAAAUCACUGGAGGUGGCUGUUUAAUAUUUGCCAGCUGGUGUUAAUAAUUUAUAAUGUAAAAGAACUAAAGUAUAACAUAUACGCUAUUUACAAAAAUCUGGACAUAUGGGGAAAAACAUGCAGAAGUACAUCUGGCACCUAGGACAUUUUGUCAAAGAAGUAGUGGAAGCUGUGAGAGGCAUGCAGGUGGGGUAGAAGUAGAACUUGACCACAGAAAAGCAAAAGCAACUAAAAUAUAUAUUCUGUUCAGGGUUGUAAAUGUCAAGAAUGCGCAGCUGAAGGAAUUCCUGAGAUACCAGCUCUUGAAAGAUUUGUGGAUUUCACACUGUUGAUAUUAAAUCUAAAGAUACUGGGAUGAAAUUGUUGGAGGAUUUUUUUUUCUUUUUAUGCAGUUUGGUCACACUUUCCUGGUCCAUGAAUAUAGCAUGUGAUCCAUAAAUGUGGAUUUACUAAAAUACAAGAAUCUUCUGUCCCUGCUUCUAUUGGAAAACACAUGUGUUAGCUUUUCUACUCCGAAGAGAAAGGUAAAAUCAGUGUCAUUUAAGGCAGCAGCGGCUUUAAUGAGGGUGAGUCAUAGCACUCAGGGAGGCAAACCUAUUUAUUUUUAUUACACAACACUUUUAACUGGGACCAUUUUAAAAAGGCCAAAUGACAGACAGGGGCCAAGAUUAGAUGCAUCCUCAGUAGACAGCUAGCAUUCCCUGCCAGAAGGAGGAUUUAGAGGAGUAUAGCUGGUAAGAAAUAGCCAACAAUUGGGGGAAGGGGGAGAGCAGAGAAAAAUAAACUCCCUGAAGAAAGUAAAAAAACAGGUCACAGUAAUUUCCCUCAGGACUAAAAUGUGUGACAUGAGUUUUUGCAUUAAGUAAGAAAUUUCAGAGUAAGAGGAACUAGGAAAGAACUAAAACCAUGGGGAAUAAUGUCGCUAUUAUAUUUGGGAGGGCUCAAAUAAAAAGUUACUAAGUCCUUUCCAAACUAACCAGCUAAAUGGUGUGCUAUUUCUCAGAAAGAACUUGCUUCUAGGAAAAAGGAAUUAGGCUUGUUUUCCUGUUUCACAUUCAAUUAUAGUGAUGAAUUUAUUAACUAAUCACCUAUGGUGCAUAUGGUGAAAAGAAAUUUCCUUGCACUGCCGCAUAAAUAUGUUCCAAGACUUCUCAGGUGACAAUACUUCAUACUGGACACAUAAUAUUACUGAAGCAAAGUCACUGUUGACCAUUCUGGAAAGUUAUAAUAUUGUUUCUAGCUUCUUCUAAAAAUGACUAUCCUAUCAAUAGUUAGCCUCUCCAAGAAUGUUAUUCUCCUGCAUUUAAACUAAGCAGUAGUUCAGUGCAUAAGUUUGCAUUUAGCUUUGGGGAAUCUUUCCUUGAACAUACUUUACAUUUUUUCUAGAAGCAAUAUAAAAAUGUGAUUGUCCAAAAAGCCAAAAGUAAGUGAACAGUUCUGCAGGAGUUAUACUCCUUGAGAUAUGUAAAUUCCAAAAGAGGCAAAGGUUUCAUGCAUGCAAUAAACACAGAAAAGAAUCAACAACACCUUCUUGAUCUGAACUACAGAGGCCGCAGGGAAAGCUGGAGUUGCAUUUCGUAGUUGUGCACCUUUGGAAAAAGAUGGAACUCUGCCAGGAGAUCCUUAGGGAUAUAGGAGAAAGAGGUAAUGCCUCAGUAUUGUCCAGAACUGAAACACUCUCUGGAACUCAAUAAAUGUUUGUUUAAAUAAUAAGGAAUGACUUUUGAUAUGGUGCUUAUGAAUAAUUCUGCACAGUGCAAAAAAAAUGGUACAGGUAAAGUUACACGAAGUUUCCUAGUAGUUUGAAAUCUGUAUAGUUGUAAUGCUGCAAUAAGAAUUUGAGGGGGAGAUUAUGGAAAUAAAAUGGUGAAAAUAAUUUAAGUUUUUUUUUAAUUAAAGUAUGAGAGAUGAGUUUAUUGUAUGUUAUGUGAUGAUUUUCUAACUCAGAAAUAUUAAGAUAAUUUUCUUUGAUGAUGUAAUUUUUGUUGUAUAUAUAUUAUAUUUUAUGUAUAUCAUAUAUAUUUUAACAUCAAACAAAAUAAAUCUUUAUAAAUUAAAACAUUUAAAUAAAAACAAUAUGAUCAUUCUUAAACUGAUUUUCUGAUAUAUGAAUGGUAUAAGUCAAUGACAAUUGAAAGACUAAGUAAGAUUUUGAGAAUUUAAAUAUAUUAACACAUAAAGCAAUGGAUUUGUAGCAUGGAGGGUUGAUCUGAAUUUAGGGGGAGAUUUCAUUAAAAGAAACAAGCUUAUGGUCACUUUGCAUGAGAAAAGGUUGUUCUCAGGGCAGUCUCUCAAUUAGAAUGAAGAGAAAAGGAGAAUUUACUUGUACCUUAAGAAUUCUUCAGUUUCCUGAGAGAAGUGUUGGGGCCUAAGGUAAAGUAAAUGGAGAAGAAAAAACCAGAGUGAAGAGGAAGACAAGAGAGGACUUAGGGACAGCAGCUGAGUGAUGGGAAAUGGCUAAGGGAUGUGAAAAAAUAAGGGUCUGAUCUUGAGUUAGAAUUUAUUAUGCGAUCUUGAAAGAAUAAACUUUGACUUCAGACUUUCAGAGUUUGGUACAGGCAUUGCCUUUUAUAUCACAAUUUUAAAUAUUUUUAUAUACACUACAUAAAAUGAGCUUCAGACUGACAACUGUAUUUUAAAAUAUACAUUUGAUGCUCUUUUGGAAAUUUUAUUAUGGAAACUUGCAAUAAUAUAAAAAAGUAGAGAUUAAUAUAAUGAAGUUAUCACCUAACUUAAACUAUGAUCAACUCAGAGUUAAUUUUGUUUUACAAAUACCACCUCACUCUUUGCUACCUGCCUGCCCUGGAUUAUUUUCAAGUAAAUGCCAAACAUUCUGUCAUCUUACCUAUAAAUAUUUCAGUGACUUUCUUCAAAAUAUAAGGACUUAAUUUUUUUAAAUCAUAAUAUCAUUAUUACAUGUAGUUUAUUAAUAAUUUGUUUUAAUAAUCUAGUAAGUGUUCAAAUUUUUCUGAUUAUCUCAUGUUUUUAGCCAUUUUUCAAAUUGAAAUCCAAAUAAGGUCCAAAAUUUGUAAUCAAUUGAUGUAUAUCUUAAAUUUCUUAACAAAGCUUUCCUUUCCCUCUUUCUUGUAAAUUUGUAGGUAUAUUAAAUUGUGCUGUUCUUCUUUAGAAUCUAGAUUUUUUGCGUCAUUAGCAGAUAAAAUUUUGAAUUUUGCUAAUCUAUUAGGUGAGAAACUGUAUCUCAAUGGAUUUAAAUUUAUCUUAAUGUGUGAUCUGGAGCAUCUUUUCAUGUAUUUGAGUGCUACAUGCACUUAUUUCUUUUUCUGUGAUCUUGUAACUUAUAUCUCUUUUCUCUUAUUCUAUUGUAUUAUUGUUUUCUUCUCUACCUUUAGAAGCCCUUUAUAAAGAUAUUAAUUAUUUGUGAUAAAAAUUGCAAAUAUUAUUAUACUUGUUUGCCAUUUGUCUUUUGACUUUGGUGGUGAUUGUGUAUGUUUUUGUGUGUAUGUCUUAAUAUACCAAAUAAAAUUUUAUUUUUAUGCAG
rnacentral:lncRNA from 1 species